GAUGAACGCUGGCGGCGUGCCUAAUACAUGCAAGUCGAGCGAACAGACGAGGAGCUUGCUCCUCUGACGUUAGCGGCGGACGGGUGAGUAACACGUGGAUAACCUACCUAUUUGACUGGGAUAACUUCGGGAAACCGGAGCUAAUACCGGAUAACAUGUUGAACCGCUUGGUUCAACAGUGAAUGUCGGUCUUGCUGUCACUUAUAGAUGGAUCCGCGCCGCAUUAGCUAGUUGGUAAGGUAACGGCUUACCAAGGCAACGAUGCGUAGCCGACCUGAGAGGGUGAUCGGCCACACUGGAACUGAGACACGGUCCAGACUCCUACGGGAGGUAGCAGUAGGGAAUCUUCCGCAAUGGGCGAAAGCCUGACGGAGCAACGCCGCGUGAGUGAAGAAGGUCUUCGGAUCGUAAAACUCUGUUAUUAGGGAAGAAAAAAUGUGUAAGUAAAUAUGCACGUCUUGACGGUACCUAAACAGAAAGCCACGGCUAACUACGUG
rnacentral:rRNA from 1 species